rnacentral:rRNA from 1 species
UAACACGUAGGAUUCAAACGUUAUCCGGAUUUACUGGGCGUAAAGCGUGUGCAGGCGGUUUAGUAAGUUGGAUGUGAAAUCUCCGGGCUCAACCUGGAGAGGUCGUCCAAAACUGCUAAACUAGAGGACGGUAGAGGGAGGUGGUAUUCCAAGUGUAGCGGUGAAAUGCGUAGAUACUUGGAGGAACACCAGUGGCGAAGGCGGCCUCCUGGGCCGUUCCUGACGCUCAGACACGAAAGCUAGGGGAGCGAACGGGAUUAGACACCCCGGUAGUCCUAGCCGUAAACGAUGUAGACUUGGUGUUGGUGGGGUGAAAGCCAUCAGUGCCGUAGCUAACGCGAUAAGUCUACCGCCUGGGGAUUACGACCGCAAGGUUA